rnacentral:rRNA from 1 species
UACGAAGGGGGCUAGCGUUGCUCGGAAUCACUGGGCGUAAAGGGUGCGUAGGCGGGUCUUUAAGUCAGGGGUGAAAUCCCGAGGCUCAACCUCGGAACUGCCUUUGAUACUGGGGAUCUCGAGUCCGGGAGAGGUGAGUGGAACUGCGAGUGUAGAGGUGAAAUUCGUAGAUAUUCGCAAGAACACCAGUGGCGAAGGCGGCUCACUGGCCCGGAACUGACGCUGAGGUGCGAAAGCGAUGGG